UACGGAGGAUGCAAGCGUUAUCCGGAUUGAUUGGGCGUAAAGCGUCCGCAGGUGGCCAUGUAAGUCUGCUGUCAAAGCGUCUGGCUCAACCAGAUAAAGGCAGUGGAAACUACAUAGCUAGAGUAAGGUAGGGGUAGAGGGAAUUCCUGGUGUAGCGGUGAAAUGCGUAGAGAUCAGGAAGAACACCGGUGGCGAAAGCGCUCUGCUGGACCUUAACUGACACUGAGGGACGAAAGCGAGGGGAGCGAAUGGG
rnacentral:rRNA from 1 species